rnacentral:lncRNA from 1 species
UAGCUGUGUAUCUGGUCAGCUGAAGAAAAAUAAAGCCUAAAUGACCAUCCCCCCAAAUCUAUGCCAUGUGGGCCCUUUUGAGUAGGGGAGACUAGUCCAGCAUUGAGUCAAGCCUUAAGGGAGAAAUAUUGAAGAUGAUCAUUUUCAGAAAGAACUGAGAAAGUAAAAAUUAUGAAUAAAUAGUUCCUUAUGGUGGGAGGCGGUCUGGAGAGUUGGGGUAAGACAUGGCUCCUCUGAAACAGAAGUUUAUAGAUAGAUACAAAAGCUCAAGAAAUAAAUGAUAAAAUAUAAGAGUGGAGCUAAUGGAACCAAAGUAUGAAAUAAAAGAGAAAUGUAUAGUUAUUAUAAAAAUGAAGGUUACUUUCAAAGCAGCACAUAUAUCUGAUAGCUGAGGAUAAUGGAGGUAAACUUGAGAAAUUUGAGCAAUUCAAAAUGGAAAAAGUAAAAAUAAAGCCUAGAGACAGAUACAGAAGACAGUAAAUUUAGCAUGCCUAUAAUUGAUACCUCUAAAAAAUAGAAUAAAUGAAAUAGAAAAACAGUUUCAAGACAUUAAAGCAUUUCCCACAAUAAAAAAAUGAGUUUAAAUUCUAAAAUGAUCUCUAGAC